rnacentral:lncRNA from 1 species
CUCCUGGCCUCUUCUUCCCGUAGGAUGUUCAGCCUAAAAGAGCUGAGGACCGAACCCAGGGCCAAAGCGCUCUACCACUGAGCUAAAUCCCCAACCCCCGAAGCCCUCCAUUGUUGAUGUUAUUAUUAUGGUUAGUGUUAAGUGUGACUGGGUUCAUGGAAAAUCCCCAGCCAGCUGCAGAAGACUAAUACAAACGUGGUGGUCAGGAUGAAUGAUGAUAUGAUUAAGCUCUGACCUUGCUGAGAAAUACAUCUGACGUCAAGAUACCCAAUGUGAUGACCUGUAACCUUUGUGAAAAACCAACAUCCUGCUGACCAAUAGAUAUGACAAACCUGUGACCUUUCUGACAUCCUGUCAACAUCAGCCGAUUCCCUGACCACACGAAUAUUGUGUCCUUGGCCUGCAUAAAUGUUUCUUACUUCCCCCCUCCCUCUGUUACCCCUGUUAUGGUAUAAAUUCAGCCUUGAGGAAAAAUAAAAUUGUCACCUUGAUCA